UUCUACAGGAGAAACAUGUUCCAGAUGCACUGAAGCAUCCCCACAGCAUAAUAGUCCCACCUCCGUGUUUCACUGUGGGGACAGUGUUCUUUGGGUUCUACGCCUCUCCCUUCUUUCACCAAAGAUAAGCAAUAUCUCUAUGGCCAAAGAGCUCUAGUUUAGUCUCAUCUGACCAAAGGACAUG